AUAGCCGACGAAUAUAGUAUUUAAAUAUCGUCGGCUAAAGUUGCUGGUUUUUGAAAAAAAAACUGCAGAAACUUUCGGCCACCUCCAAUCACCACCAAAAUUUGACAGAAUUUUCCUCUCAACAUUUCGAACAACUUUCUAGAAGAAGUCGAAGCCCAAUUCUAAGCCUAAAUAGGUCAAUUGAAUCAAAAUAUAAAAAUCCCCAAUUUUAAACCCUAAAAACUUCAAAUCUUCGAUUCUCCUCACACACACCGAAUCGAGCUACCAAAUUCUAGGAGAAUGUAGUACUAAUCAAACUCAACUUAUCCAUAUAUAGAACUCACCAAAUGGUGACCUGAGGAAGGAGAAAUUCGAUCAACACCGAAUCCGAACCGGCGGAGUUUUGGAGCUCGAUUUAUCCCUCACGGCGGCGCCACUCGAUGCACCACCUGUCCAGCAAUGAAGUAGAGACGACGGUGAAGUUUUUGGGACA
rnacentral:lncRNA from 1 species